UACGAAGGGGGCUAGCGUUGCUCGGAAUCACUGGGCGUAAAGGGUGCGUAGGCGGGUCUUUAAGUCAGGGGUGAAAUCCUGGAGCUCAACUCCAGAACUGCCUUUGAUACUGAAGAUCUUGAGUUCGGGAGAGGUGAGUGGAACUGCGAGUGUAGAGGUGAAAUUCGUAGAUAUUCGCAAGAACACCAGUGGCGAAGGCGACUCACUGGACACGUAUUGACGCUGAGGUGCGAAAGCGUGGGGAGCAAACAGG
rnacentral:rRNA from 1 species